rnacentral:misc_RNA from 1 species
UGUGAAGGGAAGCCUAAGGUCAACUAUGUUACUGUCUUUGAGCGUCCAGGUCUGCACGAUUUCUUAAACCAUCUAGGUGGAUUCGCAGAUCUUGUACUCUUCACAGCUGGUCUUGAAGGGUAUGCAAGACCUCUUGUUGACAGGAUAGAUGAAGAAAAUCGAUUUAGUCUUAGACUGUAUAGGCCUUCAACAAUUAGAACGGAAUACCG